UGGGGAAUAUUGCACAAUGGGCGCAAGCCUGAUGCAGCCAUGCCGCGUGUAUGAAGAAGGCCUUCGGGUUGUAAAGUACUUUCAGCGGGGAUGAAGGGAGUAAAGUUAAUACCUUUGCUCAUUGACGUUACCCGCAGAAGAAGCACCGGCUAACUCCGUGCCAGCAGCCGCGGUAAUACGGAGGGUGCAAGCGUUAAUCGGAAUUACUGGGCGUAAAGCGCACGCAGGCGGUUUGUUAAGUCAGAUGUGAAAUCCCCGGGCUCAACCUGGGAACUGCAUCUGAUACUGGCAAGCUUGAGUCUCGUAGAGGGGGGUAGAAUUCCAGGUGUAGCGGUGAAAUGCGUAGAGAUCUGGAGGAAUACCGGUGGCGAAGGCGGCCCCCUGGACAAAGACUGACGCUCAGGUGCGAAAGCGUGGGGAGCAAACA
rnacentral:rRNA from 1 species